rnacentral:tRNA from 3 species
CUUCUAAUAAUUUAUUAAGAAUAUUAAUUUUGUAAUUUAAAGGAAAAUUAGGAUU